CACCGAUGCUUGCACUCCGGGGUCGGGACAAAGGCAUCACCUCUAGGUUCCUCCUGUCUGGGCACUCCGGCCCUGGCCCAAACCCUCUCCGGUUUCCCGAGCCCGACACUCCAGAGCACCGAGCCCUGGAGACGGAGGCCGCGAUUCAGGCCUCGGGUGAGCACCGGCGUCCUGGCGCUCCCGCGAUCCUGUCAGCGGCCAGCGGGCCUCACGGUCCCUGUAGGACUGGCGCGGCGACCCUCCGAGCCGGCGCCGCCAGACGCUCCGGCGAACCCGUCAGGUGCUGAGCGGCCGGGCCAAGCCCGCCGCCAGAUGGGAGCAGGGGCGGCACUUACCCGGCAGCGCCUCCUCCGCCCGCGGCAGCGACACAGCCGGCGGCCCUCCGCACCAUCUUCUGCCGCCGCCCUGGCCUCGGCGGCGGCUAUCAACCGCCCCUGCGGCGCCGCCAACCGACACAACCGUCGGCGCCGGGCCGCCGAGUACUCCGGCGAGGCCCGGAAGGAUGGGAGUCGGGCGCAGCCGCUGCUCCGGCCCCUCGGCUCCGCGCGGGGACCCGAGUCCGCCGGCCGAGGCACAGAGAGCUUGGCAGGGCUGGGUCGCGGCCGCCGUGGGGUUUGUUAUUGUCGACUGGGCCUUUCCGCCGCAGAGCACGCCGGGAAACAGCCAGCCGGGGGAGGGGUGA
rnacentral:lncRNA from 1 species